UCCCGCUUAUCACGGGCAGUUUCCUCAGAGUUCUCAGCAUUACCUGUUAGCAACAGAGGAUGAGGGUUGCGCUCGUUGCGGGACUUAACCCAACAUCUCACGACACGAGCUGACGACAGCCAUGCAGCACCUGUGCUCCUCCCACCCGAGGUGAAGGGACUCGUUUCUGAGUCCCAUAGAGGGCAUGUCAAGGCCUGGUAAGGUUCUUCGCGUUGCCUCGAAUUAAACCACAUGUUCCACCGCUUGUGCGGGUCCCCGUCAAUUCCUUUAAGUUUCAGCCUUGCGGCCGUACUCCCCAGGCGGAGUGCUUAGCGCGUUAACUGCGCCACCGAAGAGUAACUCCCCGACGGCUAGCACUCAUCGUUUAGGGCGUGGACUAC
rnacentral:misc_RNA from 1 species